rnacentral:rRNA from 1 species
GACGAACGCUGGCGGCGUGCCUAAUACAUGCAAGUUGAGCGCUGAAGGUUGGUACUUGUACCAACUGGAUGAGCAGCGAACGGGUGAGUAACGCGUGGGGAAUCUGCCUUUGAGCGGGGGACAACAUUUGGAAACGAAUGCUAAUACCGCAUAAAAACUUUAAACACAAGUUUUAAGUUUGAAAGAUGCAAUUGCAUCACUCAAAGAUGAUCCCGCGUUGUAUUAGCUAGUUGGUGAGGUAAAGGCUCACCAAGGCGAUGAUACAUAGCCGACCUGAGAGGGUGAUCUGCCACAUUGGGACUGAGACACGGCCCAAACGCCUACGGGAGGCAGCAGUAGGGAAUCUUCGGCAAUGGACGAAAGUCUGACCGAGCAACGCCGCGUGAGUGAAGAAGGUUUUCGGAUCGUAAAACUCUGUUGGUAGAGAAGAACGUUGGUGAGAGUGGAAAGCUCAUCAAGUGACGGUAACUACCCAGAAAGGGACGGCUAACUACGUG